UACAGAGGUGGCAAGCGUUGUUCGGAAUUACUGGGCGUAAAGGGCGCGUAGGCGGCCCUCUCAGUCAGACGUGAAAUCCCCAGGCUUAACUUGGGAACUGCGUCUGAUACUGGAGGGCUUGAGUGCGGGAGAGGGAUGUGGAAUUCCAGGUGUAGCGGUGAAAUGCGUAGAUAUCUGGAGGAACACCGGUGGCGAAGGCGGCAUCCUGGACCGACACUGACGCUGAGGCGCGAAAGCGUGGGGAGCAAACAGG
rnacentral:rRNA from 1 species